GACGAACGCUGGCGGCGUGCUUAACACAUGCAAGUCGAACGAAGAGCGAUGGAAGCUUGCUUCUAUCAAUCUUAGUGGCGAACGGGUGGGUAACGCGUAAUCAACCUGCCCUUCAGAGGGGGACAACAGUUGGAAACGACUGCUAAUACCGCAUACGAUCUAAUCUCGGCAUCGAGGAAAGAUGAAAGGUGGCCUCUAUUUAUAAGCUAUCACUGAAGGAGGGGAUUGCGUCUGCUUAGCUAGUUGGAGGGGUAACGGCCCACCAAGGCGAUGAUCAGUAGCCGGUCUGAGAGGAUGAACGGCCACAUUGGGACUGAGACACGGCCCAGACUCCUACGGGAGGCAGCAGUGGGGAAUCUUCCGCAAUAGACGAAAGUCUGACGGAGCAACGCCGCGUGAGUGAUGACGGCCUUCGGGUUGUAAAGCUCUGUUAAUCGGGACGAAAGGCCUUCUUGCGAACAGUUAGAAGGAUUGACGGUACCGGAAUAGAAAGCCACGGCUAACUACGUG
rnacentral:rRNA from 1 species